CCUACGGGCGGCAGCAGUGGGGAAUAUUGGACAAUGGGGGCAACCCUGAUCCAGCCAUGCCGCGUGGGUGAAGAAGGCCUUCGGGUUGUAAAGCCCUUUUGUACGGGAAGCGGUACCGUAAGAAUAAGCACCGGCUAACUUCGUGCCAGCAGCCGCGGUAAUACGAAGGGUGCAAGCGUUACUCGGAAUUACUGGGCGUAAAGCGUGCGUAGGUGGUGGUUUAAGUCUGAUGUGAAAUCCCCGGGCUCAACCUGGGAAUGGCAUUGGAUACUGGGUCACUAGAGUGCGGUAGAGGGUGGUGGAAUUCCCGGUGUAGCAGUGAAAUGCGUAGAGAUCGGGAGGAACAUCUGUGGCGAAGGCGGCCACCUGGACCAGACUGACACUGAGGCACGAAAGCGUGGGGAGCAAACAGGAUUAGAUACCCUUGUAGUC
rnacentral:rRNA from 1 species